UUCCUAAUUCUGUGAUCUUGGGUGAAUUUCUUUACCUCUGUGUGCUUCAUUCCCUUUAUUUGUAAAUUGGGGUCAUAAUUAGGACCACUUGUUCUGAGAAAGAAAUGAAGCAAAAGAUGUGACGUGCUCAAAAGAGUGCUUACUUUGUCAUUAUAGGGAAAUUACGGUUGCAGGCUAGUAGACAUUGGUGAUGGGGAAUGAAGGAAUAUCCAGCCAUAGGCCGUAGAAACCUCUAGUACAGACAUUAAUUAUUCAGUGGCUGGAUAUUUUGCCUUUCUAUGGAGGGUUAUUGAUCUAAAGCAGAAUACCCCAAGUAUUAGAGGGAAAAUUCCCUCGACCUUGCUAUAAAUACAUGAACAUAACAAUUAGCCAAAGAAAGUAGAUGUGCAAAUAGUGGCCGUCCAUCUUGGGCAGCUCUAUCAGGAGCAUGGUUUUCAUUAAUUCUCUAAAUAACCCAAAUCAAAACAUUUCAUUCUUCAUAGAUGCAUAUAAGAGCCCAUAGUGACUGAAUUGAAUUACACUUGUUUUAUAAUAUAGUGUUCCGAUGUGUAACAGACUAUCAAAGGAAAGAUCUUUACAAGGAAAACUUUAGAAUAUUGUUCAGAUACUCAGUGCAUGACCUAUUUAAACAGCUCAGAUUCUUCUUGUUGUAGACUGCAUAAUUAAAUUUUAAAUGGAACAUGAUAAAGAAAUUAUACUGGUGAUCUCCAGAGAUUUUGAGACCCUAUUUGGCUCUUUAUAAGAGUAUAGCAAAGGCAUACUUUAAAAUUUAAUAAAGGCCUGCCCUAAUUUUUUUUUCCCCUCUUAGAUUUUUCUUUAUCUGCUCAGGAAUUCAAAGCUAUGUUAUGUUAUCCACAAGUGUUACCUGCAAUAAAUGACCAAAAUAAAAAUUCUUAAAAGCCCAUUUAUCCCAAUUUGAGAAUUCCAUUAUGUGUGCACCAGAGCUUUUGUGUAGCCAUUGAACUCCUUGAAGAUAAAACCUGCCAUUUCCUGAGUUUGUCACUAUAGAGAACUGGGGUUUUAUUCAUUCUGUUUGUGGAAGCAUUCAUAUCUUUAGAGCUUCUGGAGCAAAGGGGUAGAAAAUGGGUUCUGUGAAAGAUAUAAUUUUGCAAUUAGAAUUCCUUAUUUGCUCUGUAGAAGUUGCCCUUCUUGAAAGGGUUAAAGGAAACACACACACACACACACACACACACACACACACACACACAGAGCCUGUUGGAAGAAGAGCUAAUGCAGAGUAAGAGAAAAUUCUUAGGUGGAACAUCCUCAGAGGUAUUGGAGCCUCUUGGGUAAAGAAUUUUGUUUCAUAACCUUCCAUCAUUCAUUAUCUUUUGUAUUUAAAGAAAUGCUGCCAAGAUAAAAGUAUAUGUUAAAUAAUUUUUUCUCAUAUUUACUUAAAACUGUCUUGUUGUAUAAAGCACCUUAGGAGAAAGGCUUCUGUCUUCCUUGAAGGAUUUCAGAUGUUGCUGUCCACUGAGCUUUGACAAAACACCAGGUGGGAGCGUUUCUCUUCCCACGCAGGGUUGGUUUGGUUUUCAUUAUACCUUAAACAGUUGCCUCUGUCAGCGUUUGGAAUGUUCAAGCUACCGAGAUCCUGCAAAUUAAUAAAAUUCAUUCUCAUUUAUCCCUACAUAUUUUUAAACCCUGUAAACCUUUCUUUUCAGAUUAGGUUUUGUAAAUGUGUCUAUUAUGUAUUUCCCUUUGCCUUCUUUCUGGCAAAUACACAGCUUUCCUUUGGGCCCAAGUCACUCAAGCAUCCGAUGUUGUUUUCAGGUUUUCAAAUAAGCAAUAUUAAACUCACAUAACACUAUAUAAAACCAAACUGGGGCAGUGACACAAGCCAGCAGAGAAAAUAAAUUCACCGUUUAGCCUGACUGUUCAUCCUUAACCCUGUCGUUGUCAUGCUUUUGGUGGGGGAGGAAGGAUGAAGCUCAGGGAGUAAUGCUGAGCUCCAGAAAGGAUGCUAAAGAGAAAUCCAUACUGGGAGCUUGAUUAUCCAGUGUGUGGGCAGGAAUUCUGCUUUCCUGACACACUGCCACGAACGAGACCCUCCCUCUGCCAGAUUCAGGCCUGUGGAACUCAGGGAGCAUCUAUAAGAGUGACACCUGGUGGCUGGUCACUCAUUGUAAUGUGCCAGGUUCCCCUUCCAAAGCAAAGGGGGGGGGGUCAUUCCCAAAUUAGGCUUUCAUGCCAUAGGUUUCUGUGGAUGGUGCACGAUUAAAAAAACAAAAGCAUACAUUUAAGUGAAUAAUAAAGAUGCUUAUGGACAUAAUAAAUAAUGGAAGUUUAAAAUUAAUCUGUUGACUCAGAGAGGACAGACUUGUGCCUGCCAAGGAGGGGGUGGAGGAGGGUUGGAUUGGAAGUUUGGGAUUAGCCAAUGCCAACUAUUACUUAUAGGAUGGAUAAAGAGCCAGGACCUACUGUAUACCACAGGGAACUACACUCAGUAUCCUGCUGUAAACCAUAAUGGAAAAAAAUAUGAAAAAGGACAUUUAUACAUAUGCAUGUAUGUAUAUCUGAAUCACUUUGCUGUUCAGUAGAAACUAACACUGUACCUCAAUGAAAUAAAUUUAAAAAAAUUAAUCUGUUGAUAUGAACAACAUCAUUGCCAGUUGACUCACAGAGCACUUACAUGAGCAAGGAGAUGUAUAAGGGCCCAUGGACGGUGCAAGGUAUGAUGAGCCUUCCUUUUAAGGACCAACAGUCUAAAGGCAGAAAUCUGAUUUGUGGUGGGAGGAAGUCUGUUCCUGACUAGCUCUCAGAGCCUAGGACAACAUCAGUCACAUGAUGAGAUGAAAACAUUUCUAUUGAGUCCAUUAAAAUCAUAUACAUUGACCAACCCUUUAAGUUCGGAGGGGAGAGAGACAACGUUUUUUGGUAGGCCAAUUCGAAAAAUAUCACCACAGUGGAUUCAGAUCUUUUGGGAAAAGAAAUGGCAGGGACAAAGCAAAGAGCAAGGAAAAUGGAGUUUUGAAAUAGGGAUUCAGCCAGCUGGAUUCAGCCAGAUGGUUUGUUGAGAAAAUAAUGAAAUAUGAGAUUAGAAAUGUAGGUGGAAGCCAGCUUGCACGUCUUAAAGGGAUAGAAGAGUUUCCUUUGGGUUUGCUUUUCUUUUCUCAGUAGGCCGUUGGAGGUGUUGGACAAGGAUGAAUGUUCGAUUCAAAGAGUGUGUGAGCAAGGGGAUUCUGAUGGUCUCCUGCGAAAUGCAUUAUUCCAGAAAGAGCGACACCGACCCAUCCAGUCCGUGAGGAGUAGGACCAAGUCCAUGUUACUCACCUCUUUUAUCCUCAGCACCUAGGAUGAAGCACAAACUGGGAAACAAGGAUUUCCCGGAGAGUUCAAAUGAGGAUGGGAAAUGCAUGAACUAGAUUGGUCUUUGUAGAAAGAAAAUAAAGCAAGAGUCAGAGUUCCUGUCAUGGCCCAGCAGUUAGCAAACCCGACUAGCAUCCAUGAGGACACGGGUUCGAUCCCUGGCAUUGCCAUGAGCUGUGGUAUAGGUCACAGAUGCGGCUCAGAUCUGAUGUUGCUGUGGCUGUGGCUGUGGCUGGCAGCUGUAGCUCCAAUUGGACCCCUAGCCUGGGAACCUCCAUGUGCCGCAGGUACAGCCCUAAAAAGACAAAUAUAUAUAUAUAUUGGGGAAAAAAAAAAAAA
rnacentral:lncRNA from 1 species